GAGAGAAGCAAAGAAACACUUUGUUUGGAUUAGAGGAGAUAAUGGUGACGAGAAGUCCUCAACGGCAACCACCGGAAGCCACUUCCAUUGUUCCUUACGAACAUUUGUCCACACCGUUUUAUUAUAUUUUGGGAAUGAAGGUUGAGAGAAGAAGAUCAUGAAAAUGAAAUGAUUCGUAUAGCGUUGCAACUUGGUGAAGAACCACAGUCCAAAAAAUCGCAUGUCAAUGUAAACUUGGCAUCGACGAAAGAUUUGUUAAAAAAGUUGAGAAAUUAUAGAAGAGGCCUACAGAAGAUAAAGAAGCACAUGAUGGUAUUGCGUGAGGAAAUAUUGUCUCGAUGUCAUGUUGGGGAUGAAGAAGGUAGGCAAGACGUAGAGGGAGAAUGAGGUGAUGAGGUUGUGGUUGAAGUUGGUGACCAUGAGGAUGAAGUUCGUCACAAGGCUCCAAUUGUUGUUGAAAGAAUGAAUCAAGACGAUGUUGGGAAAGCUUUUGAUUUCAACUCUGAAUUUGAUGUUUCAGCGCUUUAACUCCUAGUUCCAAAACAACCAUCAAUUCAUGCAUUUGAAGUUGACUUCAUGAAGUUGUAUAAGAUUGUUACUUAUUUCGGUGUACCUUACAGGUAUUACUAAUGUUUUGUUUAUUAAUGUUAUGAAAUGAUUAAAUAAACAAAUAUAUCUGUAGCUAACAUACUUAAAAUUGUAGGGUAGUGGCCAAUAUAAAUGAGCAGAUUUUAGGUAUCUCUGAGUGUUGAGGUUUUAGUUCAGGAAAAAAAGGUUGACAAUAUGAUAAGAAAUCUUUUAAGAUGUAUUUAAUGUUUAAAGUUUUUGUUAGCAUGAUUUGUAAAUAAUUUUUUGUAGGAUGUUUUGUUUGGUGGAAGCACAAUGAUGUACUUUGAACGACGAAAAUAUGAUCAUAUGAAGAGAAUAGCUUUCAAUCUGUUAUAUACGGUAUAAAGAAUGUUUAGUUAUAAAUGAAUUAGCUUUAGCUUACUUACAAAUAACUAAUGUUCGUUAUGAAUGUAGACUUAUAUCUUGCACGACUCACGCAAGAUGAAGGUUAAGAGACGACAAUGGACAUUGAAAGAAUAUGAGCCUUAAUUUUGUUCAACACUGAUUUCGUUAGAAGAUAUUUUGGUUGCAGAUGUUGUGAGAUUCCUAUGUUAUUUAUUUAUUUUUUGUAUUGAUUAGUCACAAAGUUUAUGAUAAUAUUAAUUAUGUUAUGCAGUUGUCUGCCCCAAUGGUGCAUGAGGAUCAUUAGUAGUGCUACGUUGUUAACUAUCAACAGAAGAAGUUGUUUGUGUUGGAUUCAAUUGGGAAUUCAAACAAAAAUCGUAAAAGAAUAGACAAUGCUAUUGUUCAUAAUUUGGAAUUGCUUUUUAAGAUGUUGUUGAAAUGUAAAGAUGACGAGGGAUCAAAAUUUGAAGUCCAAUGCGACAUAACUUCGAUUCAACCUAACUUAUAUGAUUGUGGUAUUUUUGUUCUUCAAAUGAUGGAGCUGUGGGAUGGUGAAAAGAAAUUUUAUGGCAAUAGCAUGCCUAAUUACACAAAUCAGGAACAACUAUAACAGAUAAGGCAACAAUACAUUUGGGAUUGGGUACUAGAUGUUGAAAACAUUCACAAGCAAGAAGUGCUUGAAUACUACGAUUUAUUUGUUAGAAGUUAGGUGGUGGUGAAAUUUGUUGACAUUGGCAACCAUUUACCAAGCUCAUUAUGAACAUCCUGAGUGGACGGAUGAGGCUGAAUGACAGGCUUCAGUGUGGCUUGGACCAAUUCAUUUGUCGGUUCACAUAUGUUCGAUUUGAAGAUCUAUUUUUCAAUUAAAUGUAUUUCCAUAUGAAUGAACAACGUACUGAAGAAUCGUUAUGAUUUAGGUAAAAUGAUAUAAAAAUUUAGUCAAUACCUUGACAAUGUUUCGGACAAUUAUGUUGAGGUAGCAAAGUUUAUCUCUGUGAUUGAAAGUUGUAACCUGUUAUAAAGA